AACGAACGCUGGCGGCAUGCCUAACACAUGCAAGUCGAACGAGACCUUCGGGUCUAGUGGCGCACGGGUGCGUAACGCGUGGAAACCUGCCCUUAGGUUCGGAAUAACUCCCCGAAAGGGGUGCUAAUACCGGAUAAUGUCUUCGGACCAAAGAUUUAUCGCCUUUGGAUGGGCCCGCGUUGGAUUAGCUAGUUGGUAGGGUAAAAGCCUACCAAGGCGACGAUCCAUAGCUGGUCUGAGAGGAUGAUCAGCCACACUGGGACUGAGACACGGCCCAGACUCCUACGGGAAGCAGCAGUGGGGAAUAUUGGACAAUGGGCGAAAGCCUGAUCCAGCAAUGCCGCGUGAGUGAUGAAGGCCUUAGGGUUGUAAAGCUCUUUUACCCGGGAUGAUAAUGACAGUACCGGGAGAAUAAGCUCCGGCUAACUCCGUG
rnacentral:rRNA from 1 species